rnacentral:rRNA from 1 species
GAUGAACGCUGGCGGCGUGCUUAACACAUGCAAGUCGAACGGUGAAGGCGGAGCUUGCUCUGCUGGAUCAGUGGCGAACGGGUGAGUAACACGUGAGCAAUCUGCCCCUGACUCUGGGAUAAGCGCUGGAAACGGCGUCUAAUACUGGAUACGAGCUGCGACGGCAUCUUCAGCAGCUGGAAAGAACUUCGGUCAGGGAUGAGCUCGCGGCCUAUCAGCUUGUUGGUGAGGUAACGGCUCACCAAGGCGUCGACGGGUAGCCGGCCUGAGAGGGUGACCGGCCACACUGGGACUGAGACACGGCCCAGACUCCUACGGGAGGCAGCAGUGGGGAAUAUUGCACAAUGGGCGAAAGCCUGAUGCAGCAACGCCGCGUGAGGGACGACGGCCUUCGGGUUGUAAACCUCUUUUAGCAGGGAAGAAGCGAAAGUGACGGUACCUGCAGAAAAAGCGGCGGCUAACUACGUG